rnacentral:rRNA from 1 species
UACGAAGGGGGCUAGCGUUGCUCGGAAUCACUGGGCGUAAGGGGCGCGUAGGCGGACUUUUAAGUCGGAGGUGAAAGCCCAGGGCUCAACCCUGGAAUUGCCUUCGAUACUGGGAGUCUUGAGUUCGGAAGAGGUUGGUGGAACUGCGAGUGUAGAGGUGAAAUUCGUAGAUAUUCGCAAGAACACCGGUGGCGAAGGCGGCCAACUGGUCCGAUACUGACGCUGAGGCGCGAAAGCGUGGGGAGCAAACAGG